rnacentral:rRNA from 1 species
CAGCAGCCGCGGUAAUUCCAGCUCUAAUAGCGUAUAUUAAAGUUGUUGCAGUUAAAAAGCUCGUAGUUGGAUUUUGGUGUCGGACAGGCGGUCGGCUUUUGUCGUACUGCCCUUCUGACGCCUUCCUUCUGUGGACUGCGUCACUCUUAACUGAGGGGCGUGUGGACGCAGAUCGUUUACUGUGAGUAAAUUAGAGUGUUCAAAGCAGGCCUUACGCUUGAAUACAUUAGCAUGGAAUAAUAGAAUAGGACGUCGGGCCUAUUUUGUUGGUUUAGGGACCGUCGUAAUGAUUAAUAGGGACAGUUGGGGCCGUUCAUAUUCCGUAGUCAGAGGUGAAAUUCUUGGAUUUACGGAAGAUGAACUACUGCGAAAGCAUUCGGCAAGGAUGUUUUCGUUAAUCAAGAACGAAAGUUAGGGGAUCGAAGACGAUCAGAUACCGUCGUAGUCUUAACCAUAAACUAUGCCGACUCGGGAUCAGCAAGUGUCGUUCACGACCUCGCUGGCACCGUGUGAGAAAUCAAAGUCUUUGGGUUCCGGGGGGAGUAUGGUCGCAAGGCUGAAACUUAAAGGAAUUGACGGAAGGGCACCACCAGGAGUGGAGCCUGCGGCUUAAUUUGACUCAACACGGGGAAACUCACCAGGUCCAGACAUAGCGAGGAUUGACAGAUUGACAGCUCUUUCUUGAUUCUAUGGGUGGUGGUGCAUGGCCGUUCUUAGUUGGUGGAGUGAUUUGUCUGGUUAAUUCCGAUAACGAACGAGACCUCAGCCUACUAAAUAGUAACGCCUGCUUCGGCAGGUGGAUUACUUCUUAGAGGGACUUUUCGAGUCAUCGAAAGGAAGUUUGAGGCAAUAACAGGUCUGUGAUGCC